UACGAAGGGGGCUAGCGUUGCUCGGAAUUACUGGGCGUAAAGCGCGCGUAGGCGGACCUGCAAGUCGGGGGUGAAAGCCCGAGGCUCAACCUCGGAACUGCCUUCGAUACUGCGGGUCUCGAGUCCGGGAGAGGUGAGUGGAAUUCCUAGUGUAGAGGUGAAAUUCGUAGAUAUUAGGAAGAACACCGGUGGCGGAAGGCGGCCCACUGGUCCGGUACUGGACGCUGAGGUGCGAAAGCGUGGGGAGCAAACAGG
rnacentral:rRNA from 1 species